rnacentral:rRNA from 1 species
UACGAAGGGGCUAGCGUUGUUCGGAAUUACUGGGCGUAAAGCGCGCGCAGGCGGUCUUCCAAGUCAGUGGUGAAAGCCCGGAGCUCAACUCCGGAACUGCCAUUGAAACUGUAAGACUUGAGGACGAGAGAGGUGAGUGGAAUUCCCAGUGUAGAGGUGAAAUUCGUAGAUAUUGGGAAGAACACCGGUGGCGAAGGCAGCUCGCUGGGACGGUACUGACGCUGAGACGCGAAAGCGUGGGGAGCAAACAGG